rnacentral:RNase_P_RNA from 5 species
AAAAGCCCGAGGGCAGCCCACGCCGAAAGGUGAGGAAAGUCCCCCCUCCACGGCAGACUGCUUCCAGCGAAAACUGGAUUUCCGAGAGGAAAGGUAAAGGGACAAGAAAUAAUACGGUUCCUGCCUAAGGAUGAUUUGUAGAAAUGACGUUUGCAGGAGUGCCGAUGAGAACCCUCCCAGCAGGGAGCAAGUCUAAAUUGAAUCCGUGAACACUGCCGUGAGAUUCAGGUAAGACGCAUAGUCGAAUGCUGCCAGCCGAAAGGUGAACAGAAGGGGGCUUACUCCGGGCAUUU